GGCCGGUUCGUCUAGCCUGGCCCAGGACGCUGGGUUUUCAUCCCAGUAACACGGGUUCAAAUCCCGUACCGGCCACCA
rnacentral:tRNA from 1 species